GGGUUGUGAGGUUAAGCGACUAAGCGUACACGGUGGAUGCCCUGGCAGUCAGAGGCGAUGAAGGACGUGCUAAUCUGCGAUAAGCGUCGGUAAGGUGAUAUGAACCGUUAUAACCGGCGAUUUCCGAAUGGGGAAACCCAGUGUGAUUCGUCACACUAUCAUUAACUGAAUCCAUAGGUUAAUGAGGCGAACCGGGGGAACUGAAACAUCUAAGUACCCCGAGGAAAAGAAAUCAACCGAGAUUCCCCCAGUAGCGGCGAGCGAACGGGGAGGAGCCCAGAGCCUGAAUCAGUGUGUGUGUUAGUGGAAGCGUCUGGAAAGGCGCGCGAUACAGGGUGACAGCCCCGUACACAAAAAUGCACAUGCUGUGAGCUCGAUGAGUAGGGCGGGACACGUGGUAUCCUGUCUGAAUAUGGGGGGACCAUCCUCCAAGGCUAAAUACUCCUGACUGACCGAUAGUGAACCAGUACCGUGAGGGAAAGGCGAAAAGAACCCCGGCGAGGGGAGUGAAAAAGAACCUGAAACCGUGUACGUACAAGCAGUGGGAGCACAGAGCAAUCUGUGUGACUGCGUACCUUUUGUAUAAUGGGUCAGCGACUUAUAUUCUGUAGCAAGGUUAACCGAAUAGGGGAGCCGAAGGGAAACCGAGUCUUAACUGGGCGUUAAGUUGCAGGGUAUAGACCCGAAACCCGGUGAUCUAGCCAUGGGCAGGUUGAAGGUUGGGUAACACUAACUGGAGGACCGAACCGACUAAUGUUGAAAAAUUAGCGGAUGACUUGUGGCUGGGGGUGAAAGGCCAAUCAAACCGGGAGAUAGCUGGUUCUCCCCGAAAGCUAUUUAGGUAGCGCCUCGUGAAUUCAUCUCCGGGGGUAGAGCACUGUUUCGGCAAGGGGGUCAUCCCGACUUACCAACCCGAUGCAAACUGCGAAUACCGGAGAAUGUUAUCACGGGAGACACACGGCGGGUGCUAACGUCCGUCGUGAAGAGGGAAACAACCCAGACCGCCAGCUAAGGUCCCAAAGUCAUGGUUAAGUGGGAAACGAUGUGGGAAGGCCCAGACAGCCAGGAUGUUGGCUUAGAAGCAGCCAUCAUUUAAAGAAAGCGUAAUAGCUCACUGGUCGAGUCGGCCUGCGCGGAAGAUGUAACGGGGCUAAACCAUGCACCGAAGCUGCGGCAGCGACGCUGAUGCGUUGUUGGGUAGGGGAGCGUUCUGUAAGCCUGUGAAGGUGUGCUGUGAGGCAUGCUGGAGGUAUCAGAAGUGCGAAUGCUGACAUAAGUAACGAUAAAGCGGGUGAAAAGCCCGCUCGCCGGAAGACCAAGGGUUCCUGUCCAACGUUAAUCGGGGCAGGGUGAGUCGACCCCUAAGGCGAGGCCGAAAGGCGUAGUCGAUGGGAAACAGGUUAAUAUUCCUGUACUUGGUGUUACUGCGAAGGGGGGACGGAGAAGGCUAUGUUGGCCGGGCGACGGUUGUCCCGGUUUAAGCGUGUAGGCUGGUUUUCCAGGCAAAUCCGGAAAACUAAGGCUGAGGCGUGAUGACGAGGCACUACGGUGCUGAAGCAACAAAUGCCCUGCUUCCAGGAAAAGCCUCUAAGCAUCAGGUAACAUCAAAUCGUACCCCAAACCGACACAGGUGGUCAGGUAGAGAAUACCAAGGCGCUUGAGAGAACUCGGGUGAAGGAACUAGGCAAAAUGGUGCCGUAACUUCGGGAGAAGGCACGCUGAUAUGUAGGUGAAGUCCCUCGCGGAUGGAGCUGAAAUCAGUCGAAGAUACCAGCUGGCUGCAACUGUUUAUUAAAAACACAGCACUGUGCAAACACGAAAGUGGACGUAUACGGUGUGACGCCUGCCCGGUGCCGGAAGGUUAAUUGAUGGGGUCAGCGCAAGCGAAGCUCUUGAUCGAAGCCCCGGUAAACGGCGGCCGUAACUAUAACGGUCCUAAGGUAGCGAAAUUCCUUGUCGGGUAAGUUCCGACCUGCACGAAUGGCGUAAUGAUGGCCAGGCUGUCUCCACCCGAGACUCAGUGAAAUUGAACUCGCUGUGAAGAUGCAGUGUACCCGCGGCAAGACGGAAAGACCCCGUGAACCUUUACUAUAGCUUGACACUGAACAUUGAGCCUUGAUGUGUAGGAUAGGUGGGAGGCUUUGAAGUGUGGACGCCAGUCUGCAUGGAGCCGACCUUGAAAUACCACCCUUUAAUGUUUGAUGUUCUAACGUUGACCCGUAAUCCGGGUUGCGGACAGUGUCUGGUGGGUAGUUUGACUGGGGCGGUCUCCUCCUAAAGAGUAACGGAGGAGCACGAAGGUUGGCUAAUCCUGGUCGGACAUCAGGAGGUUAGUGCAAUGGCAUAAGCCAGCUUGACUGCGAGCGUGACGGCGCGAGCAGGUGCGAAAGCAGGUCAUAGUGAUCCGGUGGUUCUGAAUGGAAGGGCCAUCGCUCAACGGAUAAAAGGUACUCCGGGGAUAACAGGCUGAUACCGCCCAAGAGUUCAUAUCGACGGCGGUGUUUGGCACCUCGAUGUCGGCUCAUCACAUCCUGGGGCUGAAGUAGGUCCCAAGGGUAUGGCUGUUCGCCAUUUAAAGUGGUACGCGAGCUGGGUUUAGAACGUCGUGAGACAGUUCGGUCCCUAUCUGCCGUGGGCGCUGGAGAACUGAGGGGGGCUGCUCCUAGUACGAGAGGACCGGAGUGGACGCAUCACUGGUGUUCGGGUUGUCAUGCCAAUGGCACUGCCCGGUAGCUAAAUGCGGAAGAGAUAAGUGCUGAAAGCAUCUAAGCACGAAACUUGCCCCGAGAUGAGUUCUCCCUGACUCCUUGAGAGUCCUGAAGGAACGUUGAAGACGACGACGUUGAUAGGCCGGGUGUGUAAGCGCAGCGAUGCGUUGAGCUAACCGGUACUAAUGAACCGUGAGGCUUAACCUUACAACGCCGAAGGUGUUU
rnacentral:rRNA from 2 species